rnacentral:rRNA from 1 species
GUUGAAACAAUGGUUCCCGUACGAUCACCGAAGUUAUGCAUCAUCGAUCCUGGUCAGUACCUAGAUGGGUGACCGCUUGGAAAUAGCAGAAGCUGUA